CUGGUUGGUGGGGUAAGAGCUCACCAAGGCGACGAUCGGUAGCUGGUCUGAGAGGACGAUCAGCCACACUGGGAUUGAGAACGGCCCAGACUCCUACGGGGGGCAGCAGUGAGGAAUUUUCCGCAAUGGUCGCAAGACUGACGGAGCAACGCCGCGUGCAGGAGGACGCUUUUCGGAGUGUAAACUGCUUUUCUGUGGGACGAGGAUGGACGGUACCACAGGAAGAAGCCCCGGCUAACUACGUGCCAGCAGCCGCGGUAAUACGUAGGGGGCGAGCGUUGUCCGGAGUUACUGGGCGUAAAGGGCACGCAGGCGGUGCGGCGCGUUUCGCGUGACAGCGGAGGGCUUAACUCUCCGAGGAUGCGAAAGACGGCGGCACUUGAGGGCCAGAGAGGGACACGGAAUUCCGGGUGGAGUGGUGAAAUGCGUAGAGAUCCGGAGGAACACCGAAGGCGAAGGCAGUGUCCUGGCUGGUGACUGACGCUGAGGUGCGAAAGCUAGGGGAGCGAACGGGAUUAGAUACCCCGGUAGUCCUAGCCGUAAACGAUGACCACCAGGUGUGGGAGGUAUCGACCCCUUCCGUGCCGGAGUUAACACACUAGGUGGUCCGCCUGGGGAGUACGGUCGCAAGAUUAAAACUCAAAGGAAUUGACG
rnacentral:rRNA from 1 species